rnacentral:lncRNA from 10 species
CAAAGUGUCAAUUUUAGAAUACAAUGUAAUGGACACACAGCCCAUCUAAUCCUCCGGGAAUUCUAAAUUCUACUUUUUCUAUCAUGUUUUACAGGUCAUCAGAGAGCAACAUGCCCAAAUCACGUGAGCAUAUGCUCUUACAGGAUGUUUUUUCUGAUUCCCCUGGGAAUCUGUCUGUGACUACGGAGACCUCACACCAUGAGAAGGGACUAUACCCCCUUGGCCCAUGCACCUGUUAGGCUCCCUCACCUGACCAUUAGAGAGCACCUUGACAGAGAGCUGUUAGGGGCUGCCCAUCCUCUGUGUGUCUGAUGAUCAAAGUAAAGAACUCUAGUUUGUCUUAGUUUUUAAACUCCUUAAAGUUUUUCUAAGGGUAGCUUCAGGCAGAGGGAAAGGAAAUGUUUUCAUAGAUCUGCUGGGCAUUUGGGGAUUUUGAAUUUCUUUGGAAUUCAGAGACCUUAGCAUUUUGUGGUAUCCCAUCCCCUUUGGGUAUCUUUAUGUUAUGCGGGUUCCCAUUUGCUUUCCUCUGUGUAGCUAAUUAAGCACUUCAUGCAUUAGUUGCAUAGAGGCUAAUUACGACAGAUGAUGUUUUAGCUAUGGCACCUGUAUGUAGAGCUCCCUGUAGACAAGAUGGCCUGUUUGUUUUUGCAGAGACCAAACAAUCUUAAUUUUGAGAAUACCAAAAUGAAAUGGAAGACAUUUUUGCACACACAGUGAGGAAAUAGUGGAAGACGCUGGCAAUCCACAGCCAAGUCCAGUAGCCAAAGGGUUUCCAGAAGGACUCUGACAUUUCUUCCUAAGGAACCCAUUGGCUGUGGUCCUUUAGGAAUUCUAAAUGCCUUAACUGAAAUAUUUGUUAAUAUUAUAGAAAAGAAGUAUUAGUCCAUUUUCACGCUGUGAUAAAGACAUACCUGAGACUGGGCAAUUUACAAAAUAAGGAGGUUUAAUGGACUUACAGUUCCACAUGGCUGGGGAGGCCUCACAAUCAUGGCAGAAGGCAAGGAGGAGAAAGUCACGUCUUACAUAGAUGGAGGCAGACAGAGAGCUUGUGUGGGAAACUUCCAUUUUUAAAACCAUCAGAUCUCGUAAGACUUAUUCACUAUCACUAUAACAGGAUGGGAAACACCCACCCCCAUAAUAUAAUUACCUCCCACUGGGAUGUGGGAAUUGUGGGCGUUACAAUUCAAGAUGACAUUUGGGUGGGGACACAGCCAAACCAUAUCAGAAAUCCACAAUUAUUUUGAUAGAGAAAAACUCUUUGAUGCAGUGCAAAGGGUAGCCUUGGUAGGUGCCCCCCAUCCAGCUCAGUCCCAGCCCCUUGUGAGCCCCCACCCUGCUCACUCUCCCCCUCCUCGAAGACUCAUUUGUCACCAUUGUGUGGGUGUCAUGUUCGGUGAUGAAGUGCAUUCUCGCUCUUUGCCUUGGCAGCUGUGUGCAGGAACAGGCAUGGCCACAGAGGUGAGAGGGAGGCUGGGCUUCUCAUUGCUCAAGGCUCAUGAAUCAUGUCAGGCGGGUUGGUAACCUGAACCCAUCUCACCCCUUGCCACAGACCUCCAUGACAUUCCUUCCAACUUAAUUUCAGCCUAAGGGAUGCUUUUAAGAAGAUUUUAGAGCACGAAAAGAUCUCUUCAAAAGAAUUGUAGUUGCAUUAAAAAGUAAUUAUCAGAGCUUAGGGGUAUAGAUCUGCUGCCAUAUUUUACGUAGAGAGUAAUUCAUCUCCCAGACCCUGAAACAUCAUUACAUAAUAGGUUAAGGACACCAACCCAGGUGAUACUGGGAAAAAGGUAGUAAAAUCACCAAACCCCUGGAAAUGAUGAGCAAUAUGAUUAUGACAAAAUAGCUCUGCCCUCCCGCUACAGCAGUUUCCAAUAUAACACAAUUUAAAAAUAGCACAUCCUCAAUGAGCCCAUGCAUAAAAGUGUGGGCAAAUGCAGUUUAUCUGGGACCCCCAGGCUAAAUGUGAUAUUUAUCUUUGAAAGACUUGGCCUUUUUGGCAUAAAGAACCAGAUAUUAUAAUGAGAAAAAAGAUGACAUGUUUCCAAGUGUCCAUGUCAUAUACAGCACUGUGCCAAGUAUUCACAUGUGUUAUUUGAGUCUUACAGUAAACUAAUAAAGGUGACUAUUGCUAUUUAUUCCUAUUCUACAGUUGAGGAGUCUGUGAGAAUCAGAAUGUUUUUGGUUGUAGAUAACAGGAAACAACUCCAAUUGGCUUAAACAAGAAUGUAUUGUUUCAAGUAACUCAAAGAUCCAAAGUGAAUGGUAGGCUUGAGUCAGAAAGUCAACAGUGAUAUCACAGACCCAGUUUCUUUUUGUGUCUCUGCUUUCUAGAAGUGCCACUUCAUCCUUUCAUGGUUCCAAGAUGGCUGCCAGAAGCGCCCAGGACACCAUGCUUCCUUGCUUACAUCCAGUGAGAUGUUUUUGUCCCAACAUUUCUUUGAGUCCUUGUGAUUGGAUUAGCUUAGGUCACAUGGUUAUGGUGGAAUCAGUGACAUGGUCUGGGUGAUGGAAUGAGUUGAUUGACUUAAUUUAGAUCACUUGUGCUACCCCUGGAGCUGAUCGUUAGAGUCAUUAUUUGAUAUGGUUUGACUCUGUGUUCCCACCUAAAUCUCAUCUCAAAUUGCAAACCCCACGUGUUGAGGGAGAGACCUGAUGGUUGGUGAUUGGAUCAUGUUGAUGGUUUCCCCCAUGCUGUUCUCAAAAGAUCUGGUGGUCUUAAAAGUGUGGCACGUCCCGUCUCUCGCUCUUUCCUGCUGCAAUGUAAGACACGCCUUGCUUCCCCUUUGCCUUCCUCCAUGAUUGUAAGUUUCCUGAGGCCUCCCCAGCCAUGUGGAACUGUGAGUCAAUUACAUCUCCUUUCUUUAUAAAUUACCAAGUCUUGGGUAGUUUAUUUAAGCAGUGUGAGAAUGUACUAAUACAGUGUUCUUCAAUCCUUGAGGAUCCCAAAUGGAAGCCCAGGGAAUGGUAGCUGGGGACAACCCCAGAUGUUCACCGGGGACAGGGACAUUAAGUAACUGGUCCAUGAUUCACACAGGUAAUUAGUGACAGAGCCUGAAUUUGAACCCAGAUAGUCUUACUCAAGAGCCCUUUCUCUGACCUGUGGUCCUUCUAGAUUCUCCGACUCUUAAAGUCUUGUAAUAAAUAUCUUACACGUAUAUCUUAUGGUUUCUUCACUAAGAAUGUCACUCUGUACCUAAGUGAUACUAACUUUUGGCAAACAAUAAUUCCAGAAAACCAUAGAAUGUAUCAUCUUAUGGUGUGAAGUGGUAGUAAGGGCACUGGAUUAAGAACUAAGACUUGGUCCCCUGUUAACCUUGGACAUGUUUCUUACCUCCCAGAGCCUCUGUUUUCCUCAUUGGCAAAUGAAGGGUGAUGACUCCCCUUACAUACCUGGCUGUGUGGUUCUAGGGGUCAAGCAAGACAGUUUGAAGAGCCUGAAAAGCACUAAACGUUUAUGAGCACAUAAAUUAUUAUCACUAUACAUAGGAUUGUGAUCUAUUUUGUUCCAAAUAUGAGAACAUAACACUUUUUUUGAAUUUGUUAAAUUUGUUAAAUUUUCUUCAUUUUUUUCUCUCUCUCUCUAGACUCUCUCUCUCUAUGUAUAUAUGUAUAUAUACUGUCUCUCUCUGUCUAUAUAUAUAUACUUGUACUGCUGAACUUAAACAUAUACAUAUACAUACAUACAUAUAUAUGUGUGUGUGUGUGUGUUUAAAUUUAAGUUCAGGGGUACAAGUGCAGGUUAGUUACAUAGGUAAACUUGUGUCAUGGGGGUUUGUUGUACAGAUUAUUUCAUUACCCAGGUAUUAAGUCUAGUACCCAUUAGUUAUUUUUUCGAAUCAUCUCCUUCCUCCC